CACUGAUGUCUCAAGUUUUCUAGAAUGUAGAGUCACAAGAAAACAUGCAAAUAAUUUAACCUAUAAUUGGUAUCAAAUAAAAAUUGCACUGGAUAGAGUUAAGCUAACCUGGAAGACUGUCUUCAAGACAAUAGGGGGAGAAAUAGACAGCAGUUAUAGGAAACAGAAGGAGAAGGGAUUUAAGAACUAGAGUGAAUGAACCAAGGGAAAUAUACCAGAGGACAUUAGAGCACUAGUUGAUCCAAGUGAUUAGGUGUUUGCUAAUUGAUAUUUAUUAAUGUUUUGACUCCCAUCUUCCCAGAGAGACUGGAAAAUAGAGAAGCUCUCUCCUUUAGUGCUUACAUUUCAAAGGGUUAACUCCCAAGCCCUUGAGAAGGAUGUUACCAGAUUGCAUAACUGGCAAGAGUCUUGGAAAAUAUUUAUUUACAUUUAUACUGGGCAGAGACAGAUUUUGCAACUCCAAAUUUCUCAAGUAGAUGCUCUAAGAAAAGGAAUGUUAUGGCCUACAGUCAAGAAGAAUUUUCUAAAGUUCAGGAAACCUAAAGGGAGUUUUCAGGCCAUCUUGGUCAGUUCUAUAUAUGGUGGAAGAGUUCCAGCCUGUUACAGGGAUGCAGGGUUCCGAGGGCCAGGAGCUGGCUGCACAGUAGCAAUUUUCCCACUUUUCUCUCUUCCAAAAGCAGAUAAUUUCCAAUCACAUCUGUUUUGCAUAUAGAAGUUCUUAUAAACUUUCUUUUAAGAAAAUUUUUCCUUGCUAAGAAAAAUUUGGAGACCAC
rnacentral:lncRNA from 1 species